rnacentral:rRNA from 1 species
GACGUCAAAUCAUCAUGCCCCUUAUGACCUGGGCUACACACGUGCUACAAUGGAUAAUACAAAGGGUUGCCAAACCGCGAGGUCGAGCUAAUCCCAUAAAAUUAUUCUCAGUUCGGAUUGUAGGCUGCAACUCGCCUACAUGAAGCCGGAAUCACUAGUAAUCGUGGAUCAGCAUGCCACGGUGAAUACGUUCCCGGGCCUUGUACACACCGCCCGUCACACCACGAGAGUUUGUAACACCCGAAGUCGGUAGGGUAACCUUUAUGGAGCCAGCCGCCGAAGGUGGGACAGAUAAUUGGGGUGAAGUCGUAACAAGGUAGCCGUAUCGGAAGGUGCGGCUGGAUCACCUCCUUUCUAAGGAA